GCACAGACACACAAAGAUUACAGCUGAUAUCUGCUAAAACCUGCUGCUCAACUUGACACAAAUCCAAUCUCUGGGCAGUUCUGUGACUGUGAGCAUACACUGAUGCCAUCAAGCCAACCGGCAGAGCAGCCAGCCCACGCCUGAUGUUCCCUGGAUACAGCGUGGAGCCGGGCUGAACGGCGAUGACAGAUGGGUGCUGAGAUACCAGAGACCUGUGAGGCAGUCACUUUCCCCCCACAGACAAAAGAUCCGCCUUUACCGAACGCUGAUCCUGCCCAUUCUACUAUACGGCACCGAGACGUGGACAAUGCUCAAACACGACCUGAGCAAGCUCGAAGUUUUCCAAAUGUGUUGCCUUUUGAUGCGUUCUCUGCAUUUCCCUUCGCGAACGUCAUUUGAAUGACGCCAUCCUCACCAGCUGCGGCAGCCAACUAACGAUCGGCGACCUAAUCCAGCGCCGCCGACUCCGUUGGUUUGGCCACAUUUGUCGAAUGGACCCGAGCCGCUGCCCCCAUGGCCUACUCUGGUUGACCCGCUCCACUGAUUGGAGGAUGCAUCAAAAUGCACCAAAGAAGACAUGGAUGAAACAAAUUCAGGAUGAUUUGAAGGCCCUUCGACUUGACCUCGAGCAGGCAAGAACCAUCGCCUUAGAUCGAGAAGCGUGGAAGAUAAUCGUUGGUCAAGCAAGACAACCUGCGGCACCUACAGCAGCGUACUGGUUGCGCAGCCGACCACCGCCGCUGGACGCCCGCUAAGGACAAGAAGAAUGUUCCACAAAUAGUUACAUCCGGUUAGCAAUUUAACUGCAAAAUGACUGACACUCAGCAACUUUACUUGUGUAUAUACUGUAGCAAUACAACCAGAGUACAACCAGUUGGCAGUUAGUUGAGUCGUGACCCUAUUGAACAUAGAUGCUUACGGCAGUCUGCAUUUAACAAUUAUACACCAAUUAUUUGCCAGUGUGUCUGAGAGUGACUGCACUCAAUCUGCAUCAGACCACAAAAAGUUGGUCACCACAACUUAAGGUAAUUGGUCACCAGUAGCAAAAGACUUCAAUGUCAUCACUGGGCAACCACAGAGUGUUUUUUUCCUAGUUGCAAGGACAACGCCAGAACUUGGGUGUGUGAGAUUUAGAGUAAUGGCUCCGUGUCAGAUCCAAUCAGACUUGAAGUAUUACACUGUAUAUAUUCUAUUUCAUGGCCACACCUAGUAAUUAGUGACACCUACAGACAUCAGUACAGGUUAAGUAUAUGAUUAAUUACCUCUGUCAAAGCGGUUAUGUUUUUGGUAGCAUUUGCGUGUGUGUCAUUCUGUCUGUAAACACAAUAGCUUGGAAAGUUUUGACUGUAUUCUGUUAAAACUUUGAAUAUCAAAAAAACCACUGAUUUAUUUUUACAGGAAAAAAUACAUCUUUACAAAUAUAUCACAUCACAAAUGUUUAUUUCUAUCUAAAAAUAAAAAUGCUAAUUAUAGCUUUCAAACACAUUUAGACAAAAAUUAAUGACAAUUUACAGCAAAACAAGUGUUAGCUUUGAGUUUUAAACAGAUCUGCUUGUUAAUUGGCAGAAAUCGCCCAGCUCUAAGGGAUUUAUUGAAAACAGAGUCUUUGCACUGGCAACCGUUUACAAUAAAGGUCUUGUUAAAAACAAAAUACAUUUCUGUCCACUAAAAAUAACAAACAGUUUUACUUUUGAACAUGUACUUUUGUAUUUAUUUAGAGUUUGUUCCCUGGAACUUCCCUAACAACACUCAUGUCCUAAUGAGAUGUUCUGUUUGGUCCAUAUUGUUUACAGUUUCUUCAUGUUGUGUUUUAUUUAAAUACAGCACAAAUUAGAUGACCAAAGCUAUGAAUGCGGUGCUUUGCUGGUCUGAAGACCUCUCACCAACCAGACGUAUGUGAGCAGGCUGAAAAUUAAGUCAUUUUACAAAGAAUCUCGAGCAAUCUCAUUUGUCUGUCUAAUGGGUGAUUCAUCACUUGUUAUGGUAUAAUGAGCAUAAGACUUUAAUUGCAUGGACAUGACCAAUUGCUCUAGUCAAACAUUGGCACUUAAAAAUAAAUGCCUGCCUCUAGUACAAUAGAUGCUUUGAAUACAAGUCUGGUUAAAUAAAGGCCUGUCAUUUUUCUUCCGAUGAAGAAAAAAUGCCCAGGAUACCAUCUGAGGCAGUAAAGGAAUAAUUGCACUCUCGUGUGAUUCUAAACCUAAUUAUUUUUAUAAUAGUGUCUGACAAUACGACUUUAUAGGUGUUGUUGCACUUUUAAAAACCCUUUAGUACACAUUAACGAUCUGAAACAAUACACAAGAUCGUAUGUAGAAAUUGCACCAACACACUGUUAUUGAAUUAUUGAAUGAUUUUUUUUACAAAAGAUUUUAUUUGCAGUAUUUUUUCAGUAUUUUUGAAGGGCAGCAAUAUGGUGUUUUUUUUUUUUUACAUUUCAGCAUUUACUAACUGUGGAUAAAUAAGUGCAUUCACGUUUCACUUUUCUCAAGAAAUGUAUUCCUUUUUUCUUUGUAGUCCAUGCACACUGCUUGAAUAUGCAAUGCCCUUGUGUCAGAGAUAUACAGUUUUUAUAUUGUAGUUAAUGACUGGCAUGUAUAUGAACCUGCUUUGUAUGCCUGGACUCAACACUUAUGCAUGUAAUUAACUACUAUACUCUUUGUCAGUUUUUUUACCACCUAGUAGCAUUUCAGUCAGGUAGGCAGUGGAUGCUGCUUUCUUUUUCUUUAUAUUGAUUUUUCUAGGUUUUGUUUGUCAUCCAGUUCUGUUCUGAGUUUAAGGUUAUUUUGUAUCCCUGUAGUUCCCAAAGUGUUCUUGCCUUACAUUCCUGUAUCUGGUCAAUUUGUUGCGUUACAUCUGGUUAUACUUUGUGUCGUUGUUUCCUGUUUUAUUUUUUGGUCGUUAGUUUUGAAUUCACUGUGUUUGGUUUUGCUUCCCUUGUCUUGUUUAUCUUGAUUUGUUGCCACUGUGUCUUCCACUUCUCUCAUUGUCUUGUGAGUAUUGUCACAUCGUCCACUGUCCCUGUAUCCUCUUUAGUGCUUUGUAUUUCCUUUGUUCAGUGUUUCUCAUGGUUCUUAUUUCCCUCCAUGUAUGUAUUCCCUGCUAGUGUAUUUCUGUUGAACUUGUUAAGUUUCAUCAGACAGCAAUAAAGGCUCACCUUGUGUUCUAAACGUA
ensembl:lncRNA